rnacentral:tRNA from 9 species
UCCUCUGGUGGAGGGAUCGGUCUCAAACCCGGCGAUAG